GCCGGGAUAGCUCAGUCGGUAGAGCAGAGGACUGAAAAUCCUCGUGUCAC
rnacentral:tRNA from 3 species